AGUGAACGCUGGCGGUAGGCCUAACACAUGCAAGUCGAACGGCAGCACAGGAGAGCUUGCUCUCUGGGUGGCGAGUGGCGGACGGGUGAGGAAUACAUCGGAAUCUACUCUGUCGUGGGGGAUAACGUAGGGAAACUCACGCUAAUACCGCAUACGACCUACGGGUGAAAGCAGGGGACCUUCGGGCCUUGCGCGAUUGAAUGAGCCGAUGUCGGAUUAGCUAGUUGGCGGGGUAAAGGCCCACCAAGGCGACGAUCCGUAGCUGGUCUGGGAGGAUGAUCAGCCAGACUGGAACUGAGACACGGUCCAGACUCCUACGGGAGGCAGAAGUGGGGAAUAUUGGACAAUGGGCGCAAGCCUGAUCCAGCCAUACCGCGUGGGUGAAGAAGGCCUUCGGGUUGUAAAGCCCUUUUGUUGGGAAAGAAAAGCAGCCAGUUAAUACCUGGUUGUUCUGACGGUACCCAAAGAAUAAGCACCGGCUAACUUCGUGCCAGCAGCCGCCGUAA
rnacentral:rRNA from 1 species